UCUCUCUCUCUCUCUCUCUCUCUCUCUCUCUCUCUCUCUCUCUCUCUCUCUUCUCUGUGUGUUUCUCUGUCCCUCUGUCUCUCUCCGUCUGUCUGUCUGUCUCUGUCUCUGUCUGUCUCUGUCUCUCCCUCUCUCUUUCCCUGUCUCUCUGUCCCUCUGUCUCUCUGUCUGUCUCUCCCUUCUGUCUCUCCCCUUCUUUCGCUUCCUCUUUCUUUCUUUCUGUCUCUCUCUCCUUUUCUUCUGUUUCUUUCUGUGUCUCUCUCUCCUCUUUCUCCCCCUCCCUUCUAUCUCUCCCAUCUUCUCUUUAUUCUCUCUCUCUCUCUCCCCAUCUCAGUGCUUCUUCCCUUUCUUUUCCUCUCAAUUCUCUCUCUCUCCUUCUCUCUCUUCCCUCUUUCUUUCUCUUUCUGCCUCUUCUCUUUCUGUUUUUCUAUCUCUCUUUGUUUCUCUCCCCCUUUUCUCUUCUCUUCUCUCUCUCCUUUGUGUCUAUAUUCCCUUUCUCUCCCCUUCUCUUUCCACUAUCUUUCUUUCUCUUUCUCUCUCCCCCCUUUCUCUCUAUCUCUCUACUCUCUCUCACUUCAUCUCUCCCCUCCCUCUCUCUUAUUCACUACACCCUAUUCUACAAAGUCAAGUAUGGCAUGUACUGAAAAGAAUCCUUGGACUUAGCAUCAGGAUACCACCUAAGCUCAGGUUGUGGCUUCAUCCUCCAGUAGUUUAUGUCACUUUGGGCAAGUCACAAGGUCAAUCAACCUCUUAGAGACUUAGUUUUCUGAUCUGUAAAAUACGUGUAAUCAUAACUAUACUGCCUACCUCACAAGGUUGUUAUGAGGAUUAAAUAAGAGAUAUGAAAGCACUUUGUAACUCUAAAUUAAUUUACAGAUUAUUGCUACAAUAUUUCAAGAGGGAGGUGUGAUUUACUCAUUUGCAGAGAAUAUUCUGUACACCUAGGCAGAUGAUAACUUCUUUAUAGCUUAAAAUCUGUUAUUGGAUAAUGCUAUAACUAAGUUUCAUCACCUUGUACCUGAUCUAGAAAGAAAC
rnacentral:lncRNA from 1 species